rnacentral:lncRNA from 1 species
GAGGAUAUUAGAAGUUGGCAGUUUGGGGUCAAAUAGGAUUUUUAUGAUAUUUGAAGAUCUACUAAUUGGAUCAAGAUAAAAUUUGACAUUGUCUUAGAAUACUUCAAUAUCUAGCUAUAUAUUGAUUUUGAGUUAAAAUUAAUGGUUGGAAAAAGAGAAAUCGCUACUAGAACAUUUGCAUAAACUUUCAAGCUAGUUGCUAAGUGAUAUCAAUGUAAUUUUUGGAUUUUUUUUCACAAUUUAUAAAUUGAAUUGGGUUGAAUUUUUCUUUAAUAUAUAGAAGGCUUAUAGUGGCAUUUGUGUACAAAAUUUUGUACCAAUUGGAUAAUCAAAUUAGAAAUUACAGCUUGUCAAAGGUCAUUGAAUAGAAUUA